rnacentral:pre_miRNA from 1 species
AGUGAAAUUGGUGGGUUUUAUGGUAGCUCUGUUUAAUCAUUUAAAGAACUGUUUUCUAAAGGGGCUAUACCAUUUUACUUUCUAUCAGCAAU